UCUCAAGAUCUAUCGUUUCUUUUUCUACCGCGGCAGAGCCUUUUUCCUCGUCAAUUCUCUAAUAACCUAAUAACUUAAGUACGGUCACCCGAUCCCUCCUUUAUUUUCAAAAAGAAGAACACGAUAUGGAACGUUGCGACUCCCUUCGAAAGUUUUAAACCUAAAAAAUUUACUAUGCUAUGUGGACGUUGAGACGAGAGAAUUCUCUUAACAUUUCAACGUAUUGUUUCGCUCAUACGUAUGUAAGUACUACGUAAGUACAUACGUGCUCGUCGUACAGGUUUUACUGCUGCCACCGUAAAGUGCUUCGAAAAGGCGACCGACUUUCAAAAUCGAAAGCAAACUUAAAUACCAUUGUUUAGAAGAAACGUGACUAAAUAAAGUGAAGCUUCAUCGAUACACGCUGAUUAUUAUGAAAAUCGAUGACAAUGAGAAAUGUUGAAACGUUGCUUAUAAAUAGAAAAGAAUAAAAAAAAAAAGGUUAUUACGAAACGAGUCGUUAAUCUUUACGGCAAUUCUUGUUUAAAAAAAAAAAAAAUAACCAUUAUUUUUAAUGAAUUGUAUUGGGUAAAAACCCAAGAAAAGGCCGGAAAGAGGGGAAAUGAAAGAAAGAAUAUGACAUUAAAAAAAUAUAAUUUUAGAAGGCAACUGUACUCAUAUGCAGAUAAGAAAAAGUUGAUACGAAUGAGCUUGAAAUGCCCAUUGGUAAGGUAUCGUAACCGAAAGAUAAGAGUGCGUAUGUAAACAUUUCUGGUUUUCAAAGAGGAGGGUCGAGAGAACGUACGAUCAGUGCCAGACUUCUCGCUUGAAGCAUAUAAGACGCGCGCGACCACAGCUCGUCGGCCAACCCCAAUGGGUUAAUAAAUUUACGUUUGUUUGUUCGGGACGCCACGAAGAGACCCUUUCGGUUAUCACCUAUUUAAUCCUAUCUAUUUUGAGAACGGUAAACGACACCAUUACUGCUAACCUAAAUCCAUUCUUAAAAUCUAACUCAGGGCCAUUAUUUAUCGUCCCGAUAAAUUAGUACAAGUUUUCCAAAAAAACAAAAACAAAAAAAAAAAAAAAGAAAAAGAAAAAGAAAAAAAAGAAAAAAGAAAAAGAAAACAGGACAAAAUUUUCCACAAAUAUUCGAUAUGGAAUCGUUAUAAGAGAAUUACUUCUUAGAAAAGGAAUCGGUAAAGAUUUACGAUUAGAGUUCGAAAAAACUAAGUGUAGUCUCAAGCACGCUUUCAUGGCAUGGCGUCUACCUUUACUUACACGACGCUCGAAUUACGUGUACUCCAGAAAUAACGCGAGACUUCUUUGUCGAGACACGUAACCCGACUACCACUCGAGAACAAUGCCGGUAAGUCCAAAGGCGCCUCCUUAAGCCUUUCGCAUGUUAUACGUCCGAGCACGCAUAUCCACAUACACACACACACAUACAUACGUACAUACAUACAUACAUACAUGUAUGUAUACGCAUAACGUUCCUACGUUACAAACGUCCACGCAAGGAUCGUCUUAUCGAAUACGAUUGUGUGCGCGAGCAAACGUGACCGUGAGUACUUACUCGUAGAAAACUUUGCCGUUCUUCUCGAGACCAAGCAAAUGCACACAAGGCACGCAUACAAAGAGAACGAUAGAUGUACAAACAUAGGCGUUACGUAGACUCUAAAAAGACAGACUUCUCCAUUCCUUUUCUCCGUUUCUUCUCUCCUAUGGUUUCUCUCACCUUGGUUCACGUUCCUUUUUAUAGUAAGAUUUCUAUAUUUCUUUUUUUUUUUUCUUCUUAUUCCUUUCUUUUAUACUUACAGAGCAUUGCUCUAAUCUUUCAAUAAACAUUUCCUCUUCAUUCGUCCAUCUAUAUCUGUCUAUCUAUCUGUCUAUUUGUCUGUCUGUCUGUCUGUCUGCCUGUCUGUCUGUCUGUCUGUUUCUCUGUUUAUCUCUUUCAUCUUUUACAACAGGCAAUAAAAUUCGCGAUCUUUUACUUUGCCAAACAGAGCGCGAGCGUUUUCGAAGAAGUCGAUAAAACGAUUUUUUCUUUUUUGUUAAAGUAAGUCGAGAGGUACGGCGCUUCAAGAUUCCCGGGCGAAUGUUCGUAUUCCUCUCUCUUUUCGAGAUCGGCCGCGUUUUAUCGCUUUACCGCUUUUUAACUUUCACGGAAAACGAAAUCUUCUUCUCGAGGAGUAAAUCGUCCGUGUAAUCAUCGCGUCGUCGAGGAUCGAGUCGAAGUGAUCGUCGAUAACGCGGCCAUUUCUUAUCUACUUUCAUCUCCUUUCUUUCCAUAAUUUUUUUUUCCUUCGUUCCUUUGUAUGCGCAAGUAAAUUCUCAAACGACCCGCCUACUAUUCCUCACAGCGAACGUAGAUAUUUAUUUGUCAAAUUGCAAAUCAUCGAUUAUCGGGUUAACGAUGAUACUCUUCUUCUAACAAUUAUAAUUUCAAUUCCACUAUCGUUCGAUUUUAAUUGCAUAAUAAUUUUAAUUUUAAUAUACUCGAAAGAGAAUUACCUAUUCCGUCUACUUUUUCGAAUAAAUCUUGCGUAAUCCGAUUUGUCAAAGUUACAUACGAACGGGGGUAUAACAUGCUUUCGUACAGUAAUUAAACAAUUCAUAUCGUUUGACCAUAUUAUAUCGAAAUAAAUUUUAACGAACUAUAUAAUAACCAUUUAAGAUUGGAAAUUAAAAACCAUUAUCACUUUUUUCUAUAAUUCAAAUAAGCUUCCGUCGAAUACUCUUGGUCCAUGACGUAAAUUGAAUUAAUAAUAUAUUUCAUGUAAUUUAGUUUGUUAAAAUCCCGGCGACUGACGAUAUCAUCGACUAAAGUCGAAAAAGAAUUCGAUUUAUUUUUUUUCAAACGAUAAAGCACGAAUGUCCGAGAGGAAGUCACGAGAGCUCGUAAUUCCCUUUUCUCGAAUUUCGAAGGAACGAGUUUACUCACGCGAUCCAAUACUAGGGAGGAAAUCUCUAAAAGGACGACGAUGUUGCGGUUCGUUUUCUCGAGGCGAGUGCGGUACAUAGAUUGGCAUAAAAACAGUAGAAGGUGAGCAAAGGUUUAUUCGAGCGCACAUUAUCUGCAAUAUCGUAUGUAUGUGUGAAACUACCACGAUCACAGGACCGAAUUAGAGAAGGAGCUUAUUACCAGAACGGCAGCUGUGCACGGCUAAUCCUAUGUUGCUUGCUUUCCAUGGCCGUAGAUACACCGGAGGUCGACCGACGAACUUCUCUCUCUCUCUCUCUCUCUCUCUCUCUCUCUCUCUCACUCUUUCUCCCCCACUCCCUCCGGUAGAAGGGUUGGUUAUUGUCUCUAAUUUAAAGCAACGAUUUCCUGUCACGCUGCCUACGAGCUGUAAGCACUGCGCUACGCUUCUGCCCGUCCAUUCAUUCGUUUCCUCCUCCUCAUGUUCUCGUUUCUCUUUAUCUCUCUCCCUCUCUCGAGGUUCUUGAGAACAGAGUUACAUACAUUACGUAGAUAAGUCAGGCAUCAGUGUGGAGAGACGUGUGGGCUUCCACGACGGUGGCCACCGACGUUGUUGUCGCCGUCGUUGCCAUCGUCGCCGUCGCCGUCGUCGUCGUCGUCGUCGUCGUCGUCGUCGUCGCCGUCGUCGUCGUCGUCGUCGUCGUCGUCGUCGUCGCCUUAGUCUUCGUCGUCGCCUUAGUCUUCGUCUUCGUCGUCGUCGUCGUCGUCGUCGUUCUAGUCGUCGAGGUUUUUUCUCCUUUACUUCUUCUUGCAUUGAAUGCAUAAACGAAGUAGGCAAAAGAAAACGUGUCACGAAUUAAGUAAGAAGAGAGUAAAAAGUUCAUCGCAUAGUUUGGCUUCAUCGACUCAUAAGAGCUUAGAAAAGAGGUCUACGCUUACUUUCGUCAUAAAAAAAAAAACUAAGAUAGAGAGUUUUAAACAAUAUCUUAUUAUCGGACUAAUCGGAUUGUUGGUUGUCGACAAAAUUAUUAGUAAUGUACGAAGGCUUACCUAAAUAUAGCAUGAAAAACCAAUUAAGGAAACCAAGAAAAUUACAAUGUUAUUCCUUGAUUAAACAUUAGAAUCAAUAUUUUCUCGAUUCGUUAAACGACAAAGAUUUUUCUUUCAAACCUAUAAUUUCUAUCUUUCAUUUAAUUCCAAUUUCAACAAUUAUUUCAAUAUAAUCUAAGACGCACGUACAAUUCGAUAAAAAAGAAAAGGGACGAAUGAUUCAUUGCUUUUUAAAAGAUAAAAUCUCAUGCGUCUCGAGAAACGAUAGGCACGAAUUUUCGUACGCGAAUGCAAUGAACAUUAGGAAGUCGCACGGAGCGUGCGGAACGAACAAUUACAAUUCGCACCGCGUAGGAAACCUCAAUGUCGACCCACGCGCCUUGUCGUCACGUACGAUGCAAACGACAGGACGAAGAAAAGGAGAAGAAGAAGAAAGAGGUGGAGGUUGAGGUGGAGGAGGAGAAAGAGAAGGUGGAGGAGGAACAGUGCGGCAAACGACUGGCAAAUUGCCAAUUGCCUACAAAACGGACGUCGAUGACGAGAAACCAAACGGAACUCGACGACGAUCGAUGAUCCUACUAUACUACAAUCUUCUUUGAAAAAUAUUAUUUCUUCUUCGUGAAGUGAAAGGAAAGAAGUAAAAUGGAGAAUAGAUGAGUAUAAACAAAAGUCCAUAGAAGAUUCCCAAACAAGAAUGCUACUACCUAACCGCUUUGAAGAUGCAGAAAGAGAGGGAGAAAGGAAUGGAUGAAGUUAUAGAAAUAAAAUUUCAACAGAGAAUAUAUACUUUUUGAUAUUUCUUUUACUGCGCCGACAUAUUUCUGCUUUUUAUUUCUGAAAAAUCAUGUAAUCCAGGUGAUAAGAGAAUAUGAAGAAAAUAUAUCAUAAAGGAAAUAACAUGAGGAAAUUGGAAAUAAUCGAAUUCAUAUGGGAAAAUAAUUUUUAUAAAAUGCAAUCGAUAAAUUUGAUUCUAUAUGUAGAUACACACAAUCGCUCACAUAAAUGAUUUAUGUGUACCUUUCGUAUAGCUCGAACUUUCUACGGUGUAUGCACCGUUUGUCUCUAAUGAUUCCGACAUUGAUAUCGAAAGCCGAUCCGCUUAAGUGCGUUUGAACUGGAUCACGAGUUCGUGUGUAACCAUAUGGUAUUUUAUAUAACUUGUACAAAAGAAUAUUAAAGAUUAUAUAGAAACAAACGUUCUAUAUGCAAAAUCAAAUUCUUCUUGGAGCGGAUAUCGAUUGUCUUAACAUUUUUCUUUCCUUUGAAAAAAAAAAAAAAAUAACUCUUUGCUUGUCACGUCGUUCGUCCUGUUCUAAAGAAAGUUCAUUAAAAUUUAUCGAAUUAGAAGUUCCGUGGGCGUUUCU